GAGUUUGAUCGUGGCUCAGGAUGAACGCUGGCGGCGUGCCUAAUACAUGCAAGUCGAGCGAACAGACGAGGAGCUUGCUCCUCUGACGUUAGCGGCGGACGGGUGAGUAACACGUGGAUAACCUACCUAUAAGACUGGGAUAACUUCGGGAAACCGGAGCUAAUACCGGAUAAUAUAUUGAACCGCAUGGUCCAAUAGUGAAAGACGGUUUUGCUGUCACUUAUAGAUGGAUCCGCGCCGCAUUAGCUAGUUGGUAAGGUAACGGCUUACCAAGGCAACGAUGCGUAGCCGACCUGAGAGGGUGAUCGGCCACACUGGAACUGAGACACGGUCCAGACUCCUACGGGAGGCAGCAGUAGGGAAUCUUCCGCAAUGGGCGAAAGCCUGACGGAGCAACGCCGCGUGAGUGAUGAAGGUCUUCGGAUCGUAAAACUCUGUUAUUAGGGAAGAACAAAUGUGUAAGUAACUAUGCACGUCUUGACGGUACCUAAUCAGAAAGCCACGGCUAACUACGUGCCAG
rnacentral:rRNA from 1 species